rnacentral:tRNA from 1 species
GCACUGGUGGUUCAGUGGCAGAAUCCUCGCCUUUCAUGUGGGGUACCCAGGUUCAAUUCCUGGCUGGUGCA